UACGUAGGAGGCAAGCGUUGUCCGGAAUCACUGGGCGUAAAGCGCGUGUAGGUGGAAGAGGAAGUCUGCUGUGAAAGCGCCUGGCUUAACCGGGCGAGAUCGGUGGAAACUCCUCAUCUAGAGGUCGGUAGAGGGGGGUGGAAUUCCGGGUGUAGUGGUGAAAUGCGUAGAGAUCCGGAGGAACACCUGUGGCGAAGGCGGCCCCCUGGGCCGCACCUGACGCUGAGACGCGAAAGCGCGGGGAGCGAACGGG
rnacentral:rRNA from 1 species